GACGAACGCUGGCGGCGUGCUUAACACAUGCAAGUCGAACGGUGAACCUCUUCGGAGGGGAUCAGUGGCGAACGGGUGAGUAACACGUGGGCAACCUGCCCCCGGCUCUGGGAUAACUCCAAGAAAUUGGGGCUAAUACCGGAUGUUCACCGCUUCCCGCAUGGGUGGUGGUGGAAAGGGUUUCCGGCUGGGGAUGGGCCCGCGGCCUAUCAGCUUGUUGGUGGGGUAGUGGCCUACCAAGGCGACGACGGGUAGCCGGCCUGAGAGGGUGACCGGCCACAUUGGGACUGAGACACGGCCCAGACUCCUACGGGAGGCAGCAGUGGGGAAUAUUGCGCAAUGGGCGGAAGCCUGACGCAGCGACGCCGCGUGGGGGAUGACGGCCUUCGGGUUGUAAACCUCUUUCAGCAGGGACGAAGCGCAAGUGACGGUACCUGCAGAAGAAGCACCGGCCAACUACGUG
rnacentral:rRNA from 1 species